rnacentral:rRNA from 1 species
GCGGAAGGCGGGGGGAGUAGCGGGGGUAAGACGUGGGGGGCAAGCGUGGUCCGGAAGUAUUGGGCGUAAAGAGCUCGUAGGGUGCUUGUCGCGUCGGCGGUGAAAACCUGGGGCUCAACUCCUGGCCUGCAGCCGAUACGGGCAAGCUAGAAUUCGGUAGGGGAGACUGGAAUUCCUGGUGUAGCGGUGAAAUGCGCAGAUAUCAGGAGGAACACCGGUGGCGAAGGCGGGUCUCUGGGCCGAAAUUGACGCUGAGGAGCGAAAGCGUGGGGAGCGAACAGGAUUAGAUACCCGAGAGUC